rnacentral:lncRNA from 1 species
UUAACGCUUCGAGGGGACCUCCACCCAAGCCCUUUGUAGUCUCUCAUGGACCAUUCCAUUACAAGUACGCCCUCAGUCACAUAACUGUGAGGUGGUCGGGAUCAAGCUCAGGAUCGGAGCACAGCUUGCAGAAUCAUUUUUUUCCUGCAGAGGUCCAGCUGUAUUUCUACAACUCAGAUCUCUACAGAAACUUCACUGAAGCGUCCGACCGCGCCAACGGCGUGGCAGCCAUCGCUGUUUUCUUGAAGGAAGGACGACAGUCUAAUCCGUUCAUCGACGCUGUGCUCGAGCAUCUACCAGCCGUGCGACAAGGAGGAACCUCUUCGUGGGUUCGAAACGCGCCACUGCGCUCGAUAUUCACGACGUCUCACUUCCUCACAUACGACGGAUCCCUCACAGAACCUCCUUGUGAGGAGACAGUGACCUGGGU